rnacentral:rRNA from 1 species
CUAGCCGUAAACGAUGGACACUAGGUGUUGGGAGCAUCGACCCUCCCAGUGCUGUUCUGCUAACGCGUUAAGUGUCCCGCCUGGGGAGUACGGCCGCAAGGUUGAAACUCAAAGGAAUUGACGGGGGCCCGCACAAGCGGUGGAGCAUGCGGGUUAAUAGGAUGAUACGCCAAGAACCUUACCAGGGCUUGAAAUGGCGCGGACAGCCUGUGAAAGCAGGUCUCCUGGGCAACCAGGUCGCGUCACAGAUGG